rnacentral:rRNA from 1 species
GAUGAACGCUAGCGGCAGGCCUAAUACAUGCAAGUCGAACGGGAUUGGGGAGCUUGCUCCCCAUGAGAGUGGCGCACGGGUGCGUAACGCGUGAGCAACCUGCCCGUCCCUGGGGGAUAGCCCGGAGAAAUCCGGAUUAACACCGCAUGACGUUGGAUUGUGGCAUCACAAACCAACCAAAUAUUCAUAGGGGACGGAUGGGCUCGCGUGGCAUUAGCUAGUUGGUGGGGUAACGGCCCACCAAGGCAACGAUGCCUAGGGGCUCUGAGAGGAGAAUCCCCCACACUGGUACUGAGACACGGACCAGACUCCUACGGGAGGCAGCAGUAAGGAAUAUUGGUCAAUGGGCGCAAGCCUGAACCAGCCAUGCCGCGUGCAGGAGGACUGCCCUACGGGUUGUAAACUGCUUUUGUUAGGGAACAAACCCCCGGACGUGUCCGGGGCUGAGCGUACCUAAAGAAUAAGGAUCGGCUAACUCCGUGCCAGCAGCCGCGGUAAUACGGAGGAUCCGAGCGUUAUCCGGAUUUAUUGGGUUUAAAGGGUGCGUAGGCGGCGCGCUAAGUCAGGGGUGAAAGACGGUGGCUCAACCAUCGCAGUGCCUUUGAUACUGGUGCGCUUGAAUGCGGAUGAGGUAGGCGGAAUGUGGCAAGUAGCGGUGAAAUGCAUAGAUAUGCCACAGAACACCGAUUGCGAAGGCAGCUUACCAAGGCGUGAUUGACGCUGAUGCACGAAAGCGUGGGGAUCGAACAGGAUUAGAUACCCUGGUAGUCCACGCCCUAAACGAUGAACACUCGAUGUCGGCGAUACACAGCCGGCGUCCAAGCGAAAGCGUUAAGUGUUCCACCUGGGGAGUACGCCCGCAAGGGUGAAACUCAAAGGAAUUGACGGGGGCCCGCACAAGCGGAGGAGCAUGUGGUUUAAUUCGAUGCAACGCGAAGAACCUUACCUGGUCUUGACAUCCUAGGAAUCUCGCAGAGAUGUGAGAGUGCCUUCGGGAACCUGGAGACAGGUGCUGCAUGGCUGUCGUCAGCUCGUGUCGUGAGAUGUUGGGUUAAGUCCCGCAACGAGCGCAACCCUUACCCUUAGUUGCCAGCAUUAAGUUGGGAACUCUAAGGGGACCGCCGGUGACAAACCGGAGGAAGGUGGGGAUGACGUCAAGUCAUCAUGGCCCUUAUGACCAGGGCUACACACGUGCUACAAUGGCCGGUACAAAGGGUUGCCAACCCGCGAGGGGGAGCCAAUCCCAAAAAGCCGGUCGUAGUCCGGAUCGCAGUCUGCAACUCGGCUGCGUGAAGUCGGAAUCGCUAGUAAUCGUGAAUCAGCGAUGUCACGGUGAAUACGUUCCCGGGUCUUGUACACACCGCCCGUCACACCAUGGGAGUUGAUUGCACCAGAAGUAGGUAGCCUAACCGCAAGGAGGGCGCUUACCACGGUGUGGUCAAUGACUGGGGUGAAGUCGUAACAAGGUAAC